AGUAAAUGCCAUUCCAGCUACAUGAGACAAAAAUGGAGACUAAGCAGGGCUGGGUUACCGUGAGAACAUUUUGAAGAAUAUGAUAAAUAGACCUUGUCUGAAGUAAGAAAGAAUGAGGCCAACAUAUGGAC